rnacentral:rRNA from 1 species
CCGAGUCUUAACUGGGCGUUAAGUUGCAGGGUAUAGACCCGAAACCCGGUGAUCUAGCCAUGGGCAGGUUGAAGGUUGGGUAACACUAACUGGAGGACCGAACCGACUAAUGUUGAAAAAUUAGCGGAUGACUUGUGGCUGGGGGUGAAAGGCCAAUCAAACCGGGAGAUAGCUGGUUCUCCCCGAAAGCUAUUUAGGUAGCGCCUCGUGAAUUCAUCUCCGGGGGUAGAGCACUGUUUCGGCAAGGGGGUCAUCCCGACUUACCAACCCGAUGCAAACUGCGAAUACCGGAGAAUGUUAUCACGGGAGACACACGGCGGGUGCUAACGUCCGUCGUGAAGAGGGAAACAACCCAGACCGCCAGCUAAGGUCCCAAAGUCAUGGUUAAGUGGGAAACGAUGUGGGAAGGCCCAGACAGCCAGGAUGUUGGCUUAGAAGCAGCCAUCAUUUAAAGAAAGCGUAAUAGCUCACUGGUCGAGUCGGCCUGCGCGGAAGAUGUAACGGGGCUAAACCAUGCACCGAAGCUGCGGCAGCGACGCUGAUGCGUUGUUGGGUAGGGGAGCGUUCUGUAAGCCUGUGAAGGUGCGCUGUGAGGCAUGCUGGAGGUAUCAGAAGUGCGAAUGCUGACAUAAGUAACGAUAAAGCGGGUGAAAAGCCCGCUCGCCGGAAGACCAAGGGUUCCUGUCCAACGUUAAUCGGGGCAGGGUGAGUCGACCCCUAAGGCGAGGCCGAAAGGCGUAGUCGAUGGGAAACAGGUUAAUAUUCCUGUACUUGGUGUUACUGCGAAGGGGGGACGGAGAAGGCUAUGUUGGCCGGGCGACGGUUGUCCCGGUUUAAGCGUGUAGGCUGGUUUUCCAGGCAAAUCCGGAAAAUCAAGGCUGAGGCGUGAUGACGAGGUACUACGGUGCUGAAGCAACAAAUGCCCUGCUUCCAGGAAAAGCCUCUAAGCAUCAGGUAACAUCAAAUCGUACCCCAAACCGACACAGGUGGUCAGGUAGAGAAUACCAAGGCGCUUGAGAGAACUCGGGUGAAGGAACUAGGCAAAAUGGUGCCGUAACUUCGGGAGAAGGCACGCUGAUAUGUAGGUGAAGUCCCUCGCGGAUGGAGCUGAAAUCAGUCGAAGAUACCAGCUGGCUGCAACUGUUUAUUAAAAACACAGCACUGUGCAAACACGAAAGUGGACGUAUACGGUGUGACGCCUGCCCGGUGCCGGAAGGUUAAUUGAUGGGGUCAGCGCAAGCGAAGCUCUUGAUCGAAGCCCCGGUAAACGGCGGCCGUAACUAUAACGGUCCUAAGGUAGCGAAAUUCCUUGUCGGGUAAGUUCCGACCUGCACGAAUGGCGUAAUGAUGGCCAGGCUGUCUCCACCCGAGACUCAGUGAAAUUGAACUCGCUGUGAAGAUGCAGUGUACCCGCGGCAAGACGGAAAGACCCCGUGAACCUUUACUAUAGCUUGACACUGAACAUUGAGCCUUGAUGUGUAGGAUAGGUGGGAGGCUUUGAAGUGUGGACGCCAGUCUGCAUGGAGCCGACCUUGAAAUACCACCCUUUAAUGUUUGAUGUUCUAACGUUGACCCGUAAUCCGGGUUGCGGACAGUGUCUGGUGGGUAGUUUGACUGGGGCGGUCUCCUCCUAAAGAGUAACGGAGGAGCACGAAGGUUGGCUAAUCCUGGUCGGACAUCAGGAGGUUAGUGCAAUGGCAUAAGCCAGCUUGACUGCGAGCGUGACGGCGCGAGCAGGUGCGAAAGCAGGUCAUAGUGAUCCGGUGGUUCUGAAUGGAAGGGCCAUCGCUCAACGGAUAAAAGGUACUCCGGGGAUAACAGGCUGAUACCGCCCAAGAGUUCAUAUCGACGGCGGUGUUUGGCACCUCGAUGUCGGCUCAUCACAUCCUGGGGCUGAAGUAGGUCCCAAGGGUAUGGCUGUUCGCCAUUUAAAGUGGUACGCGAGCUGGGUUUAGAACGUCGUGAGACAGUUCGGUCCCUAUCUGCCGUGGGCGCUGGAGAACUGAGGGGGGCUGCUCCUAGUACGAGAGGACCGGAGUGGACGCAUCACUGGUGUUCGGGUUGUCAUGCCAAUGGCACUGCCCGGUAGCUAAAUGCGGAAGAGAUAAGUGCUGAAAGCAUCUAAGCACGAAACUUGCCCCGAGAUGAGUUCUCCCUGACUCCUUGAGAGUCCUGAAGGAACGUUGAAGACGACGACGUUGAUAGGCCGGGUGUGUAAGCGCAGCGAUGCGUUGAGCUAACCGGUACUAAUGAACCGUGAGGCUUAACCUU